rnacentral:rRNA from 1 species
UAAUGGGGCGUAAAGCGCGCGUAGGCGGUUUCUUAAGUCUGAUGUGAAAGCCCUCGGCUCAACCGUGGAGGGUCAUUGGAAACUGGGGAACUUGAGUGCAGAAGAGGAGAGUGGAAUUCCAUGUGUAGCGGUGAAAUGCGCAGAGAUAUGGAGGAACACCAGUGGCGAAGGCGGCUCUCUGGUCUGUAACUGACGCUGAUGUGCGAAAGCGUGGGGAUCAAACAGGAUUAGAUACCCUGGUAGUCCACGCCGUAAACGAUGAGUGCUAAGUGUUAGGGGGUUUCCGCCCCUUAUGCUGCAGCUAACGCAUUAAGCACUCCGCCUGGGGAGUACGACCGCAAGGUUGAAACUCAAAGGAAUUGACGGGGACCCGCACAAGCGGUGGAGCAUGUGGUUUAAUUCAAAGCAACGCGAAGAACCU